CUGGAUUUGGGAGAUGCAGUGAGAAUGAGUCAGAGCCCACGACAUGAGGGAGAGAAAGGGGGACCCUGAGGACUUGGGGUCCGGUGUGAGGAUCCUGCACUCGGUUUCUGUGAUGGUGUGUGCAGGGGAGUCACAAGUUCAGCGCUACACCAACCUGAACUUCGCUUCCUGAGACCUAAGAUUCAGCCCCGUGCUCAGCAGACAUCAGGGAUCACCGACUCUGUGCCAGGAGCUGUUCUUGAUGCUGGGAACGCAGGGGUGGACAAAACAGAGAAAGCCCUGCCCUCAGGGCGCAGUGUCCUGCUGAGUGUGCAGGUGCCUGUCCCUGCCCUCUGCAAUGUCAUCUCCAUGCAGCAGCAGCGUUUACCCACGGAUGGAUCCCCACCCCUGGACCAUGCCUGGGUACAGGUUUUGUUCCGGUUGGUCUGCUAUUGAGUAUGGAGGCCAGGGUUCCACUCCAGACCCCUCUGACUCCCCUCACCAGGCUGUUCCCAGAGACUUGUGAGGGAAGUUGACAAUAAA
rnacentral:lncRNA from 1 species